UACGUAGGGUGCAAGCGUUGUCCGGAAUUAUUGGGCGUAAAGAGCUCGUAGGCGGUUUGUCGCGUCUGGUGUGAAAAUCCAGGGCUUAACCCUGGACCUGCAUCGGGUACGGGCAGACUAGAGUGCGGUAGGGGAGAUCGGAAUUCCUGGUGUAGCGGUGAAAUGCGCAGAUAUCAGGAGGAACACCGGUGGCGAAGGCGGUUCUCUGGGCAUUACCUGACGCUGAGGAGCGAAAGUGUGGGGAGCGAACAGG
rnacentral:rRNA from 1 species